CUGACAUGAUUCCAGCGCUGCUUACCUUGACCGUCUUUGAACAGGUCAGGAUACAAUGUAGGCAAGAGACGUGAGAGCACAACUGGAAGUUGCAUCUUCUGGAUCGUCUUUUACUGUUAUCUGAAGGCAAUGGGAAGACAAGGGACUGACAGGAGCCAGUUUCUUCAGUGUGUGUGU